rnacentral:misc_RNA from 1 species
AAUUCUCAACUUCAAUAACUUGUGUUAUUGAAGCUUGGAUGUGGAGGCUUGCUGGCGUCUUAGAUGUUUUCAGCUCCUCUUAAAUGCAUUAGUGGAGUUACAUGUUUCCUCGUUGUGUUGGUCCAUUUUGGUGUGAUAAUUAUCUACAUCUUGAUGAGUUCAACUGCUUUUCAAGACAAUUUUGUUGUCUUGGUUGGGAUAGGUGUACCUUGUGCUCUAUCUGUAAUCGGGAUAUCGUAUGCGUUUGCGUGCUUUAUCUGUUUAUUGAGGAACAAGUAUAGUUUGCUUUCUAACUGUCUAUGUAUAUAGACUUUAUUGACU